CAUUAAAGAAAACAUGGUUUCCUGGAGAAGUACAUGUCUGCAGUUUAAUACACAAGAGGUAAUUGGAAGCUCUUUGACUUAAUGAUUAAGAAAUUGAAGUAGCUUUGGAAUCUGUGCAGUCUAAGCUAUAAAAAUUGAGAUAGACACUAGGAUAUUUGAGGGCUCCAGAAGAUCUGAAAAGAAAUAUUGCAGUACGUCAUGC
rnacentral:lncRNA from 1 species